UUGUUUAAAAUGGAUGAAUAUCUUCAUAUGGAUUCUCAAGUUGGUUCUAGUUUGAUAUCUGAUUUCUCUUCAUUCAUUAGCGAAGUUGGAGAGGGAGAUUUGACAAAUAAAUUUACAAUAAAUGAAAUAUUUCGUUCACGGGAGCACUUAAUUGAUUGGGUAAGAGGGAUGACUUAUGAUUUAGGAUUUGUUGUGGUAAUAGUAAGAUCUAAUAUAGCUACUGGUGUACGGGAAAGAAAAACGUUCGUCAUACUUGGAUGUGAAAGAAGAGGGAAAUAUCAGAAAUACAAAGCCGAUGCGGUGCUUAGUGUAUACGACACUCGUAAAUGUGAGUGUCCGUUUAGAUUAAAGGGUAAAUCAUGUUCAGACGGGGAUGGAUGAGUGUUGAAGGUGAUGUGUGGACAUCACAACCAUGAGUUGGCUGAAACUUUAGUUGGGCAUCCUUAUGUUAGCAGGUUAAAUAUGAGUGAGUAGUCAUUACUGGUUGAUAUGACAAAGAGUAAAGUUCACCUGCAAAUAUUUUAUUAACCCUCAAACAAAAUAAUGAUCGAAAUGUCACAACGAUUAAACAAAUCUACAACGCAAGGCAAGCAUAUAAACGAUCAUUGAGAGGGUCCAGAACUGAACUACAACAACUUAUGAUGUUAUUGGACCGAGAAAAGUACAUUCAUUGGAGUAGGUGUGCUAACGAUUCAGAGGUUGUUACUGACCUGUUUUGGACACAUCCUGAUGCGGUGAAAUUGUUAAACUCAUUUAAUGUUGUAUUUUUGAUGGAUUUCACAUAUAAAACAAACAAAUACAAACUUCUGUUGCUUGAGAUUGUAGGCAUGACGUCUACAGGGUUAAACUUCUCUGCAACAUUUGCUUUCUUGUCUACUGAACGACAGAGUAAUUUCACAUGGGCUUUGGAAAAGCUGAAAGGUUUAUUUUUAACAUUUGAGGGUGGUCCUAAAGUCAUUGUCAUUGACCGAGACUUGACUUUGAUGAAUGCCAUUGCAAAUGUAUUCCCUGAGUCAUAUCAGAUGUUUGUCAGUUCCACAUCCUUAAAAAUGUUAAAGCUAAAUGCAAAAUGUUAGUUCAUUCUACUGAGGUUUGGGAUGUGUUGAUGGAUGCAUGGGAAAAUGUGAUGGAUUGUGCUGAUGAGAGCUUGUUUGUUGAGUAUGUGAAUGGUCUUUAAUACGCAAAUAGUUCAUGGCCUUUAUCCUUUGAAUAUGUGAAUCAGACUUGGAUUAUUCCGUACAGUACAUACUUUGUAAAGUUCUGGACAAACAGAGUAAUGCAUUUAGGGAACACAACCACAAAUAGGGUUGAGUCCGCUCAUUGGAGUCUGAAGAAAGUUCUGGGCAAUAGUAUGGGUGAUUUGUGUUCUUGUUGGGAUAGUAUUCAUAACGUCGUUAUCCUACAACACAACAAGAUUAAGGCGUCAUUUGAAAGAAGUUUGUUGCUCAUGAGUGACCCUUUUAAAGGAUACAUAUAUAGAAAACUUAUUGGGCGUGUCUCUCGAUAUGCAUUGGAUCUCAUUGCUAAGGAAUUGGAAAGAGUGCAGCAGAUAGGAAUUGGACUCAUCAAAGUGUGGAUGCGUAUUGAGACGUACAUUUGGUGUCUCCUGUGCAUGUGAAUUAGCACGAUAUGAUGUUGGAUUGAUCCCUCUGGGUGAAUUUCAUAUCAUGUGGCGAAGAUUGUAUUUCUCAAAUGUUGAAUUAAAUGAAAUCAAGCCCGAGUUAUCCAUUAAAAAUGAGUUGAAACAAGUAGAAGAACGAUUCAAUGAGGUUGACAUUGGAGGUAAAGUCACCAUCAAGUAGAAGUUACUUGACAUUACUUGUCCUACAUUGACAUCAAUGGUCCUUUCAUUACAUAAAGUCAAGACAAAGGGUGCUCAAAAAAGUAAAGUUCAACGAAGAGAAAGGUCUACUACGCGGGAUCCAUCAUAUUUUGAGUAUGUCGAUGCCUUUCAUUCAACCAUAGAAUCUUCAAUUGUGAAAAGUAAAUUACAAUCAAAGCCAAAUGUAGUGAAGAAAAAGAGAGUUCCAAUGAUAGACUAGUUUCAUUAUAUUACUCACUCCUUCAUUGUGGACGUUGUUGAUGUUGUGGUUGAUGGUCACUGUGGAUAUAGAUGCAUUGUUGCGUUGUUGGGACUCAGAGAAGAUUCAUGGCCUGUUAUCAGAAAGGAUUUGUAAAAAGAACUCAGUCAAUGGCGUGAUGAAUACUCAAGCCUAGUAGGAGAGUAUGAUAGACUAGAAGAACUAAGAAACUCUUUGUUGGUGCAGUCACAAUAGACGGCUAACAGGAAUAAGUGGAUGACAUUACCAAACAUUGGUUAUGCAAUUGCUAACCGAUAUAAUGUCAUCUUAGUGUGUAUGUCAUCAUCUCAAAAUUAUACUAUCUUCCCACUACGUUCCACACCACCUUCUGAUAUAACUCAACAUCGGUUAAUUUGUAUAGGACAUGUUCAUGGAUGUCAUUUCGUGCAGGUUAAGUUACAAGAAGGUUGUCCUUUGCCCAUGGUGAAUAUCAUCUCCUCAACCCACUGUUAUCUUGAGGCACGAGCGUGGUCAUCUAUUUAUACUAGUAGGAUGCAAGCAUUUGCACAGUUGAUGGGCGUAACGACAUCUUAUGUUGACUUGGGUCAUUCGUGAUAUUUAUGAAGAUAUGUAAAAAUACACUAUUACUUUUUGUUAAGGUGUAAAUUCAAUUUUAAGUUUUGUGAACCAAUGAUUUUGAAAUCCAGGUAACUGACUGUGAUGGAACAUAAUUAAUACCAU